AUCAAAGGUAGUAGUACGAACAGAGGUUAGGUGUAGGACUCCAGCAGAGCAUAGGGGCCUAGACGGGACAUAUUUCUGUAAUAGUGAGGAUAAGUAGGUGGGAGCAGCAUUUUGUAGAGAUUUGUAAGCAAGUAUCAGGAUCUUAAAUUGAGACCUAUAUCUUACGGGAAGUCAACUUAGGGACUGACAAAGGGGGGAGGCGUGGGAGGUGCGGGCGGGCAGGAAGAUGAGCCUCGCCGCCACACUAGAGUCCGCUGUAGUGGUUAUGAUACCAGGAGUAACCCUUUAAUGUGUGCAUAUGUCCAUAUUUAUUCUUACUUUUAUAAAACGUUUGUUGACUAAAGCUUUGAUCAGGCUCUUCCAGCCACAGGAUGAGAUUGCUUGGAGUUAUAUUCUACAUAAACUGUUCUGAAACUGGUUGCCUCAUCAUCACAUUAGAUGCAUAGUUUAAUUCCCCAGACUCCGCCAGAAUUUCACUGGACAAAAUAGAGGUUUUAGUCCAGGAGGGGCAAGCAUACAUACAUACAUACCCAGUUUAUUUAAUUGAAUUGCCUCCAACUGCAAAACAGGAGUAGGUGAAAGGGGGACAUUAGCAUCUCCCCAUAUUCAUGUAAAGUCCAUGGGUGUGGUAGUAGGAGGGACUAGAUCCUUGUUAAUUUACAGGCCUUAUCCCCCAAACAAAAUAUUUUACAGAGUGUGUAUUUGUGUGCGUAACUAUAUCUGUGUAGAACCUUUAAAGCUAUAAAUAUCUGUGAAAAGUCUGUACGUGUGUGAUCCGUAAAGGUGUAUAUGUAACCAACACACUCUAUAGCCCCUAUCCACAUGCAGCCACUAUUUAAAUCUCACAGCAGUCUCCAUCAUACAUCAAACACUACAAGCAGCCUUUCCCCUAUAAACAACUCCUCAAGAAACCUACCGUAUAUACUCGAGUAUAAGCCGACCCGAAUAUAAGCCGAGGCCCCUAAUUUUACCACAAGAAACUGGGAAAACUUAUUGACUCGAG